GACGAACGCUGGCGGCGUGCUUAACACAUGCGAGUCGAACGGAAAGGCCCUGCUUUUGUGGGGUGCUCGAGUGGCGAAAGGGUGAGUAACACGUGAGUAACCUGCCCUUGACUUUGGGAUAACUUCAGGAAACUGGGGCUAAUACCGGAUAGGAGCUCCUGCUGCAUGGUGGGGGUUGGAAAGUUUCGGCGGUUGGGGAUGGACUCGCGGCUUAUCAGCUUGUUGGUGGGGUAGUGGCUUACCAAGGCUUUGACGGGUAGCCGGCCUGAGAGGGUGACCGGCCACAUUGGGACUGAGAUACGGCCCAGACUCCUACGGGAGGCAGCAGUGGGGAAUAUUGCACAAUGGGCGGAAGCCUGAUGCAGCAACGCCGCGUGCGGGAUGACGGCCUUCGGGUUGUAAACCGCUUUCGCCUGUGACGAAGCGUGAGUGACGGUAAUGGGUAAAGAAGCACCGGCUAACUACGUG
rnacentral:rRNA from 1 species